rnacentral:rRNA from 1 species
GACGAACGCUGGCGGCGUGCCUAACACAUGCAAGUCGAACGGAGAUAUGAUUUCGGUUGUAUCUUAGUGGCGAACGGGUGAGUAACGCGUGAGCAACCUGACUCUUAGAGGGGGAUAACACUCGGAAACGGGUGCUAAUACCGCAUAAGACCACGACAUGGCAUCAUGACGAGGUCAAAGGAGCAAUCCGCUGAGAGAGGGGCUCGCGUCCCAUUAGAUAGAUGGCGGGGUAACGGCACACCAUGUCAACGAUGGGUAGCCGAGCUGAGAGGCUGAUCGGCCACCCUGGAACUGAGACGCGGUCCAGACUCCUACGGGAGGCAGCAGUGGGGAAUAUUGGGCAAUGGGCGCAAGCCUGACCCAGCAACGCCGCGUGAGGGAAGAAGGCUUUCGGGUUGUAAACCUCUGUCCUUGGUGACGAAAAAAAUGACGGUAGCCAAGGAGGAAGCCCCGGCUAACUACGUGCCAGCCGCCGCAGUAA